rnacentral:rRNA from 1 species
UACGUAGGGGGCAAGCGUUGUCCGGAUUUAUUGGGCGUAAAGAGCGUGUAGGCGGUCAGGUAGGUCCGUUGUGAAAACUCGAGGCUCAACCUCGAGACGCCGAUGGAAACCAUCUGACUAGAGUCCGGAAGAGGAGACUGGAAUUCCUGGUGUAGCGGUGAAAUGCGCAGAUAUCAGGAGGAACACCGGUGGCGAAGGCGGGUCUCUGGGCCGAUACUGACGCUGAGGAGCGAAAGCGUGGGGAGCGAACAGG